rnacentral:sRNA from 1 species
CGACUUCCAUCUGCUGAGGGCAAAUAAAAUGGAUAUGGGUAUCCACGCCGCCGGCCGUUACAAUUUUUCCUUCGCCGGAAAUGACUUCUGUGCCGGCACCGAUGACCAUAUGCGGGUCAACGCCAUCCAUGAUAUCGGGGUUGCCGCUUUUUCCGACGCCGACUAUACGGCCGUCCUUCACGCCGAUAUCCGCUUUCACGAUGCCGGUGUAGUCCAAAAUGACAACGUUUGUGAUGACCAGAUCAAGCGCUCCGUCUUUUGCCGUCAUGGACCCGUUUUGCCCCAUGCCGUCCCGAAUCG